UGCCGCGUGUGUGAAGAAGGCCUUUUGGUUGUAAAGCACUUUAAGCGAGGAGGAGGCUACUCUAGUUAAUACCUAGGGAUAGUGGACGUUACUCGCAGAAUAAGCACCGGCUAACUCUGUGCCAGCAGCCGCGGUAAUACAGAGGGUGCAAGCGUUAAUCGGAUUUACUGGGCGUAAAGCGCGCGUAGGUGGCCAAUUAAGUCAAAUGUGAAAUCCCCGAGCUUAACUUGGGAAUUGCAUUCGAUACUGGUUGGCUAGAGUAUGGGAGAGGAUGGUAGAAUUCCAGGUGUAGCGGUGAAAUGCGUAGAGAUCUGGAGGAAUACCGAUGGCGAAGGCAGCCAUCUGGCCUAAUACUGACACUGAGGUGCGAAAGCAUGGGGAGCAAACAGGAUUAGAUACCCUGGUAGUCCAUGCCGUAAACGAUGUCUACUAGCCGUUGGGGCCUUUGAGGCUUUAGUGGCGCAGCUAACGCGAUAAGUAGACCGCCUGGGGAGUACGGUCGCAAGACUAAAACUCAAAUGAUU
rnacentral:rRNA from 1 species